GGGUAAUGGCACGGGGACCCACCAGCUUGUCUGCCGCCAUCUGGGGUACAGUGCUGGGAGCUGGGAUACAGGGACAAAUAAGACACAGAUCCUGUCCCUAAAGAGGCUGGAGUGCAAUGGCGCGAUCUCAGCUCACUGCAACCUCUGCCUCCCGGGUUCAAGCGAUUCUCCUCUCUCAGCUUCCUGAGUAGCUGGGAUUACAGAGAAAUACAGAAGAGAGUCCCGGAGAGGAGGAGGAGCCUGCCUGAAGAUGGAGCAGAGACUGGAGUUAUUCAGCCAAGUCAAGGAAUGCCUGGAGCCAUCAGAAGCCGGAAGAGGCAAGGAAGGAUCCUCCCCUAGAGCAUUUGGAAGAGUGUGGCCCUGCCAACACCUUGAUUUCAAACUUCUGGGCUCCAUAACUAUGAAAUAAAUUCUUGUUGUUUUAA
rnacentral:lncRNA from 1 species